AGAACCGGAACACAGGUGGUGCAUGGUUGUCGUCAGCUCGUGUCGUGAGAUGUUGGGUUAAGUCCCGCAACGAGCGCAACCCUCGACCUUAGUUGCCAGCAUUCAGUUGGGCACUCUAAGGUGACUGCCGGCUAAAAGUCGGAGAAGGUGGGGAUGACGUCAAAUCAUCAUGCCCCUUAUGACCUGGGCUACACACGUGCUACAAUGGGCGGUACAAAGGGUCGCGAACCCGCGAGGGGGAGCCAAUCCCAAAAAGCCGCUCUCAGUUCGGAUUGCAGGCUGCAACUCGCCUGCAUGAAGCCGGAACCGCUAGUAAUCGCGGAUCAGCAUGCCGCGGUGAAUACGUUCCCGGGCCUU
rnacentral:rRNA from 1 species